rnacentral:lncRNA from 1 species
AAGGCAUUUCAUACUUGUGUUAGUGUGCACUAGUCUCAUCAAUUUUGCUCUGUUUCAUCAUUCUAGAUUAAUAAAAUUCAGCCUAACAUUUUUAUUUUAUUUUUUCCUAAGACCAUAAAAGGUACUUAUUAGUAGGAGAGAGAUGUUUAUUUAGAGAAAUGCCUGGAAAAGAGAUGCUAAGGAGUAAAUAACUCUGUUUUAACAGAAACUACCAGUUGAACCAUGUUGAACAUAGUGCUGCUCAAAUUUAUGCCACUAAAAGGACACCAAUGCCUACACUAAUGAAAAUGGAGGCAACAUGCCUCUUUUUGUUGUGUUCUAUAAAUAAACCUAAUAUAUCAAUACACAUAUUUAAUACAAAAAUAUUGAGAAAUUAUUCAACAUUUUUGUGUUGUGUGCCUCUGUAUUUAAAGCUGCCCAAAGAGAGAAAUACUAAUUUUGAUCAAUAAUUAAAUUGAUAAAAUAGCAACUUACUUCAAUCUAUUUAAUGAAAUGCUUUAUUUAAUAAGCUGUAUAACUGGCCGGCAGCUGUAUAAAUUUGGCCCGGCCGCUAUCCUGUCCACAUGCAGCCGUCAGCCCAGCACAGCCUCGGUGAUCACCGAAGGGAAGGGAACGAAGGGAAGGGAGGAAGCGGAGUGGGAGCCGCGCAGCAUGGGGCCAGGAGAUCACCGGCUUGGUGGUGCAGAAAGAGAAGAGGAUUUAAACUUCCAAAACACUAUGACAAAUCAGUUAUGGAAAAAUAUGCCUCAAAAAGAAGGGCAACUCAGAACAUGGCACAGAGAACUGCAGGACAAGUAUAUCGACAUAAUUAAUGCAGAAGUUUUCAAGUGAACCUGAACCAGCAAGAACUCUCCACCCUCUACUGUGAACUUGUUGCUUUGUUCUACAGAAUCUCAGCUUUGAUUAGAA